rnacentral:rRNA from 1 species
UGAAGAAGGUCUUCGGAUUGUAAAGCACUUUAAGUUGGGAGGAAGGGUUGUAGAUUAAUACUCUGCAAUUUUGACGUUACCGACAGAAUAAGCACCGGCUAACUCUGUGCCAGCAGCCGCGGUAAUACAGAGGGUGCAAGCGUUAAUCGGAAUUACUGGGCGUAAAGCGCGCGUAGGUGGUUUGUUAAGUUGGAUGUGAAAUCCCCGGGCUCAACCUGGGAACUGCAUUCAAAACUGACUGACUAGAGUAUGGUAGAGGGUGGUGGAAUUUCCUGUGUAGCGGUGAAAUGCGUAGAUAUAGGAAGGAACACCAGUGGC